rnacentral:rRNA from 1 species
AUGAGAAUUCUUAGCUGGAAUUGUCGUGGCCUGCAACAGGAAGUGGCAGUUAGGGAUCCGCUUGAUGUAUGUUCGAGCAGAAGUCCUGACGUCCUGUUUCUGCCAGAAACCCACUUGGAUGAAUUCCCGGCAGAAUGUCUUGGUAGAAGGUUGAAGAUGGAUAGAAAGGAGAUAGUUUGCAGUGAUGGCAAAACUGGAGGCUUGCUACUGUUCUGGAGAAACGAAAUAAAGAUCUCUCUGAAGUUUAAAUCUGAUAAGUUCAUUGAUGUUUUCGUCGGUGAUGAUAUGGAGAAUAGAUGGCAGUUUACCGGUGUUUAUGGGGAACCGCGGUGGGAGGAUAAACAUCUCACCUGGCAAGGGCUACGUGACUUAAGAGCAAGGAUGGAUUUGCCAUGGCUAGUAAUGGGAGACCUGAAUGAUAUUCUUUACUCCUUUGAAAAAGAAGGC